rnacentral:rRNA from 1 species
GACAGAGGGUGCAAACGUUGCUCGGAAUUACUGGGCGUAAAGCGCGUGUAGGUGGAUUGGUGUGUCAGAUGUGAAAUCCCUGGGCUCAACCCAGGAACUGCACCUGAAACUACCAGUCUUGAGUGGUGGAGAGGGAAGUGGAAUUCCUGGUGUAGAGGUGAAAUUCGUAGAUAUCAGGAGGAACACCAGUGGCGAAGGCGGCUUCCGUGGACACCAACUGACGCUGAGACGCGAAAGCGUGGGGAGCAAACAGG